CGCAUGGCAUUGCUCAGUACGGCGAGUGAGCGGCAAAAGCUCAAAUUUUAAAGCUGGCAUCUUCGGUGUCCGCGUUGUAAUUUUGUGAGGCAUCUCCGGGUAGGGCGCCGGCCUAAGUUCCUUGGAACAGGACGUCACAGAGGGUGAGAAUCCCGUGCUUGGCUGGCUGUCCCCGUCCAUGUGAGGUGUCUUCGACGAGUCGAGUUGUUUGGGAAUGCAGCUCAAAAUGGGUGGUAAAUUUCAUCUAAAGCUAAAUAUUGGUGGGAGACCGAUAGCGCACAAGUAGAGUGAUCGAAAGAUGAAAAGCACUUUGAAAAUAGAGUUAAAAAGUACGUGAAAUUGUUGAAAGGGAAGCGCUUGAGAUCAGACUUCGGUAGGGGGUGAUCAGCCGUCCUUCUGGGCGGUGCACUUGCCCCUCUCCGGGCCAGCAUCGGUUGAGGCGGCGGGAUAAAGGUCCCGGGAAUGUGGCUCCUUCGCGGGAGUGUUAUAGCCCGGGUGAAUGCCGCCAGUCUCGACCGAGGACCGCACCCGCAAGGGUUAGGAUGCUUGGCAUAAUGGUCUUCAGCGACCCGUCUUGAACAAGGGGACCA
rnacentral:rRNA from 1 species